rnacentral:lncRNA from 1 species
GGACCCUGAAAGACAACUCUCUGCAACUUUAAGAACAUGGACUGGGCUUGAAGGGGCAGUAAGGAAAGAAUGAUUCAUUUUGACUGUGAUUGCUGGGAAAGAUAUCUUGAAAUGGAGACUGUGAGUAGGUCCCUUCUUGCUCUAUUCUGAAGACAGCUCCUACGACACUAAUUCAAGGAUCAGUGGCUGGAUUCGAGAAAAAAUGGAAAACGGUUGUUGCAAGGGUGUCAACUGCUUGGAAUGCUGCCGGCAACCGGGUUCUGAGACUCCCUAGGCUUUCUGAAAGCAUCUGAAUGUCUGUCCAACUGCAAGCUACGUCAUGGAAACAGGACCGCCCUGAGGGGCUCUCCAAUAUGAAUGCCAGGGCUGCCAGAUUCCACAGACAAGAAUAAAGGGCAUCCAGUGAAUUCUGAAUUUCAGAGAAGCAGCAUUUUUUUCAUUAAAAGUGGAUGAAGUUUUGUGUUUGCUCUACUGACCUGAAGUGAGGAACAACCACAUACAUCUUUGUCUUCACUCUGUCCAGCUGUCAACUGCAUUGUUCCCUCACGUCUUCCUGCAAAGUACCAUUAUUUCCACACCUUAAGAAUUAAAGAGUGAAGAGAAAACGACAAAAUGUUCUUGUUUAUCAGGAGAUGGGGGUGAGCUGAGCUUUCCACAAGGUCCUGAAUGGAUGAGAAGGACCCAAAACAUAUGGAAAAUAUGGAGAAUAGGGUAUAAGUAAUAAAAAUAAAAAUAAAAUAAAUAAAAUAAAUUGGGAAU